GGAGGGGUGUCGGAGGCGGAGUGGCAAUUUAUUCCGCUGUCACAGCCUUCAUUCGAAGCCCUUUUGGAGGCUGCUGGGUACACUUGGAGACGUAAUGGACACACGGGAGUGACGCUUGAUGAAGAGCGACAAAGAGGCAAGGGGGGGCGUGGCCUGCGGACCCGCAGCGAAGUGGGGUGUGCGAGGACCAGCUGCGAGAUCAGCGACAGGCAGCAGCCGGGGAGGAGAGGAGUUGUUGGAGUUGGAGCACGAGAGAGAGCAAAAGCGAGAUUGACAGACACUGAAGAAAUUGCUGAAAAGCACAACACAGACUAUUCUGGUUAAAUAAAACUGUCUAAAAAACCCUGCAAAGGAGCAGUGAUGGUGGUCCGAGGAACCCGAGGGAAGGAGCCUUCCACACUUAUAUCUAUAAACAAACAAAAAGUACACAAAGUGUCCGUCUGCAGAGUUUUUUUUUACAACAUGUUAUAUCAGAGGAGUGGAAUAUUUGUAAACAAAUAAAAAGUCUGAAUACAAAUAUUUAUAUGUUUUCUGAUUAAAUUAGUGAGUGUGUUGAUUCUCCCAGUCGGGACCAAUACAGUAACAUAAAUGUUCUGAGUGCCUGCAGGUCCGCAUUCAUGCCAGGCUUACUAGUGCGUUGCAGGACAUAGUGAAACUAAGGUUUGUCCCUAAAGCCACUGCUCCUUCUUCAGUGUUGUGUUUCCGCUUCUAUGCUAGUGUUAGCCAUAUUGCUUUAUUUUGUUCUUCUGGGCUGCACUUCCAUUUGUGGUUAAAGAAUAAAGAACAACAGUGAUUGAACAAUCA